rnacentral:tRNA from 1 species
ACCUGGCUGGCUCAUUUGGUAGAGCAACUGACUCUUGAUCUCAAGGUCAUGGGUUUGAGCCCCAUGCUGGGUG